GAUAAGUAUGGUCUCAAAAGUCUGGGAAAUAUUGGUCAUUACUUAGAGGACUGAGAGCAAGCUAGAGCCUCAUCUCAUCCACUGGUUUCCCUGAAAGGUGAUGUCAGAGCCUCUGUUUGGCUGUACACAUCUAAUCAAGCAAUACAACUUCUACUGGAUAGGGUUAGCUACCAAAAGGAAAUACCAGUCUGCUGAGACAAUGAAACGGAGGACAGCCUAUGUGAAUACUGUGGAUACUUCAAGAUAUUCCCUACAAUUAUGUCCCUGCUGAUACAUUGUCCAUCUUCCAGUGAUUCUUCUCACUCUGAAAUGAAACUGUCAAAUCCAUAAUGAGCCGAAGGAGCAUUGGGCUUCUUGAAUGAUGAAAAAGGCUGCAGUGCAACGGCUCUAGCUGCGCAUUAAUGAGCUCCUGCAUGAUUGGUGACAUUCUGCUUAAGACAGAAGAGCAUACACUAUACUGACCAGCUCACCACACAGUUUGUGCAAUCAUCAGAUAUGGGUUUCAAAUACAAGGUAUAAAGUUUUACUGCAUUCAUAGCAUAUCAGUUUGGGGUUUAGCUUGUUUGGGAAGAAAAUAUCAGACGCGGGGUUAAAAUUAGAUAUAAAUUAUUCUACAUGGUGUAACUCCAUUAU